rnacentral:rRNA from 1 species
UGAGGAAUAUUGGUCAAUGGGCGGAAGCCUGAACCAGCCAUCCCGCGUGCAGGAAGACAGCCCUAUGGGUUGUAAACUGCUUUUCCAGUGGGCGAAACACUCGUACGUGUACGAGAUUGACGGUACACUGGGAAUAAGCAUCGGCUAACUCCGUGCCAGCAGCCGCGGUAAUACGGAGGAUGCAAGCGUUAUCCGGAUUUAUUGGGUUUAAAGGGUGCGUGGGCGGAUGAAUAAGUCAGUGGUGAAAGGCUGCAGCUUAACUGUAGACUUGCCGUUGAUACUGUUUAUCUUGAGUAUGGUCAAGGCAGGCGGAAUGUGUAAUGUAGCGGUGAAAUGCUUAGAUAUUACACAGAACACCGAUUGCGAAGGCAGCUUGCUGGGCCAUUACUGACGCUGAUGCACGAAAGCGUGGG